CCUACGGGAGGCAGCAGUGGGGAAUAUUGCACAAUGGGCGAAACCCUGAUGCAGCAACGCCGCGUGAGUGAGGAAGUCUUUCGGUAUGUAAAGCUCUAUCAGCAGGGAAUAGAAAAGAAGGUACCUGAAAAAGAAGCCCCGGCUAACUACGUCCCCGCAGCCGCGGUAAUACGUAGGGCGCCAGCGUUAUCCGGAUUUACUGGGUGUAAAGGGAGCGUAGACGGAAAGGCAAGUCAGAAGUGAAAACCCACGGUUCAACCAGGGGACAGCUUUUGAAACUGGCGAACUAGAGUACGGGAGAGGUAAGAGGAAUUCCUAGUGGAGCGGUGAAAUGCGUAGAUAUUAGGAGGAACACCAGUGGCGAAGGCGUCUGACUGGACCGAAACUGACGUUGAGGCACGAAAGCGUGGGGAGCAAACAGGAUUAGAUACCCGAGUAGUC
rnacentral:rRNA from 1 species